CCUACGGGAGGCAGCAGUGGGGGAUAUUGCACAAUGGGGGAAACCCUGAUGCAGCGACGCCGCGUGGGCGAAGAAGUAUUUCGGUAUGUAAAGCCCUAUCAGCAGGGACGAAGAAAUGACGGUACCUGAGUAAGAAGCACCGGCUAAAUACGUGCCAGCAGCCGCGGUAAUACGUAGGGUGCAAGCGUUAUCCGGAUUUACUGGGUGUAAAGGGAGCGCAGGCGGUACGGCAAGCCUGAUGUGAAAGCCCCGGGCCCAACCGCGGGACUGCAUUGGGAACUACCGGGCUGGAGUGCGGGAGAGGUAGGUGGAAGUCCUAGUGUAGCGGUGAAAGGCGUAGAUAUUAGGAGGAACACCAGUGGCGAAGGCGACUUACUGGACGGUGACUGACGCUGAGGAUCGAAAGCGUGGGGAGCAAACAGGAUUAGAUACCCGUGUAGUC
rnacentral:rRNA from 1 species